CAUAAAAACUCUGAAGCAUGUACAAACUCCGAAGCACGUACAAAACACAACAGCAGUGCUCCAGGAUGCUAGGCUCAGUGAGCAGAGUGAAGCUGACCCCCCACCCAUUUGAAACGUAAAGGCAAAUAGGCGGAGCGGUUAGUGCUACGUUUGUGCAGAUUUGUGCAGUUAAAAUGAGCGUUUGUGCUGCUACGGUUUUUGAGUUAUUAAACAUUAUUUUAUAGGUCAUUCAAAGGUCACCAUCCCCCCAGACUGCUCCAAAACGGGCCAAAAUGGUCUACUUUUUUAGUGCUACGUUUGUGCUGAUUUGUGCAGGUAAAAGUUUGUGCUGCUAUGGUUUCUGAGAUAUAAUGAUUUUAAUUAUUACGGCCUACGCUGUAUAACACCAGUGUCUGUGGCAGUGAGUUUCAGCAGCUGUGGAAUUUUGCACUUUUAUAGAAGACUGUCCACUUUUUCUAGGCUUGCUGCAUAUUAACUUUAAUUAGUUUACACUUUAGUAACACAAUUUAUUCAGCGGAAAGGUCGAUAUGUCUUUUGUUACCAGUGCAGAAACGUACACAAGGUAGGCUAAAGUUUUUAUUUUUUCUGUGGCAAAACUGAGUUUCAUUUGAAGUGAUUCACAUAUACCUAAAUUAUUAUUAUUUUUACAUACCCAGUUGGCCUCUAUGAUUUUGUUUUGAAUUAUAUAUGUUCAUUAUUAUUAAUGUAGCUCUCUCAGAAAAAAUGAAGUGUUUGCUUUGAUAGGUUGUUACCUACGUGUAGAAAACUGAAUAUUCCACAGCACCUAGGCCAGGGAUGUUCAACCUGCGGCUCUAAAGCCACAUGUGGCUCUCCGGCCCCUCCACUGUGGCUCUUAUAAGACCAAGCUCUAGACAGAUUUUGUAGCAGCAGGGGAAAAGGGGCCCUUUGAACUGAAAAGGAUGCUGACCCCUGACUUAAGCCACCAGGUCAAGACACAACAAAUACAGAAAAAUUAUUGACAGAAAAAUGGAACGGUUACUUUCAAGGCUACAGGUGAAGGUGAAUGGGUGUGUAAAAGCAAAUAUGCAUCAGACUGACAAAGAAAACAGUGUUAAAUGAUUUUUAAUUUAGAACUUUAACUUUAUGUGCAAAACUGAACUUACUGAUAACACACACUAGACAUUCAAACACAUGUAACUGUAAUGAACCAAAUAAAACAGAAAAAUGCAGGCAGCACUCAUUAUACCGUGUAUAACGCAGCAUGGGGUUGUAUUUUUUUCUUUUCAGAUGCUCCUGUCACUCCAUUUCCCAGGUCAUCAUAGCACUCCCACACACACGGAGCUCUCCUGCAGUAUGCAGUGUAAUGGCCCAAACCACCAGUGGUCAUCUUUCCAUGGAAAGCAAUUAAUGCCCUCAAAGUGAACGACUUUCCUUGGAGAACCAGGUUGGAGGGAAAUUCGUUCAGGGGAAAUUCUGUUUGGUUUGCAAGAUGGAUUGGAGAGUGGCCUGAGGCAGGUAGACUCAGGUAGGCCAAGUCCUGCUUCCACAGCCGUGCCAAGAUGAGCCAUACCAGACUCUUUGAGGACAGAGAUGGCAGGAGAAACAAAUGGCACUUCCCUUGUCAUCCCUUUGCUGAGGUAGCAGUGCUGUGAAGAGCAGUGUUUGGUUUGUUGGGUCACACCAUCUGUGGCAAUGGCUUUCACCAGCUGCAGGACUGGGUUUUCACUGUCUUUCAGAACAGCAUUUUGAAAUGUUGAGCUGUCACAGAAGGCACAACAUAAGCACUGAAAAAAUGCAUCAAAAGCACAGUUUCAUCUGCAUGGAGCCAUUCGGUACAUGAAGAGUGUCACAGUCUGGCGGGGGCAGACUGUAUGAAUUGAAAAAAGGACCCAAAUGCAGACUCCAAGGAACAGGGAGCAAAACGUGAAUGAUAACAAAAAGAGAGCCAUUUAAUGAGGCUGGUAAAAGGUACAAACAAAAGGCAAGGCAAACUGAAGCAAAAUUAACACAAACCUAAACUGGGAAAUCUAAACAAACAAUAAGAAAAACCUAGACAAGAAACUUGGAGGCGAGGCAUGGCAUGGCAAACAUGGCGUGGACAACAGACGACCUGACAAGGGCCGUUUAUCAAUGCCCAAGUACGCGAGUACGUACUCGUGUUCUCGGUGAGUCGAGCCGAAAGAGCCAGUUCUCUAAAAAGAGCCGGAAAUCCCAUCACUACUCGUUAGUACAGUUUAGAUCGUGUGUUGUUUCUAAUGCCCUUUCAGAUAGCUUCUCACUCCUUUUUUUGUCUUUUGCACCAGGAAGUGGAGAGGAAAACACAGGAGCUGAAUCACGAGUGGGGAAUUAAUGCACGGAGUGUCGCCUGCCUUCACAUCGCCAAACUGCACUUUCGGAGCCGGGAGAAUUCACCACGGGGAGCCACGGCCAAAGGAUUUCACACUGAAUUGUUAUUAUUUUGCACUGUAAAUAAAUUCACUGUCUCUUUGCAAGUGGAGAUCUGCGUUCGAGUCCGCUCCAUCCACACUCCAUGACACAUUCAGUAAUGGUCGGACACUUUUCGUCCUUUGAACUACAGCUGGUUAGAGUUGGAAAUGAAGAUCCGCUUUAUCGUCCACCUGGUAUCAAUAGCCUGUUUUUAACCCUGAUGCUCCCGCCAGGGGGAGCGGCGGGGUCGGGGGAUGCAGGUCCCCCUGCGGAGGGAGGAAGGCGGUUGGGGUCGCGAGAUCCCCCCUCGGGAAGGGGAUGGGAGGAGGGAAUAUGCGGGGGUCUCGAGAUCCCCCGAGGGCAUGGGAGACAAAGAAGAGAGAGAGAGAUGGGCGGAGGGGGUCGAGAAAGCGCAGCAUGUCGCAUGCCGAAAUGAUAAGAGUGUGGAUGGCGGGUACUAAGCGUGUCGGGGUUUGGUUACAGAGGCGGUGUCCCAGCGCGCGCCGUACAACAACAACAACAACAACAAGGUGCCACCGAGAGAGAAGAAGACAAAGACAAUGUCACGCACUAGACCGUGGGACCCAAAGAGCACUAAGGUCGGCACGGGUGGAUCGCUUUCGCCGGCGGUGUCAUCGUCCUCCUCCUCCUCCUCCUCCUCCUCCUGCUCGCCAUCACCGUCGCCAUUGCGUUUGGCGUACGCGGGGUGGGCUCCGGUCGCUCCAUUGCUGCGACCGGCCACGUUUCACUAUGGCGGUCUAGGGGUCGAGGAAGACCAAGAGCAGCAGCAGCAGCACGAGAACUCUGAGGAGGAGGAAGAGGAAGAGGCCGAGGAGGAUAACGACUCGACAGCCCGAACGCUCGCAGAGGAGGAUCGCUGCUCGGAGGAGCAGGAGGGCGAAAACAACGCGGACCGUGAGUUCCCUGGCCAUGUGCGCAGCCUACGCGAGCAGGCUCAAGAGAAAGAGAUUCAGUUGCAACUAUGC